UACGUAGGGGGCAAGCGUUGUCCGGAUUUAUUGGGCGUAAAGAGCGUGUAGGCGGCUAGGUAGGUCCGUUGUGAAAACUCGAGGCUCAACCUCGAGCUGUCGAUGGAAACCAUCUGGCUAGAGUCCGGAAGAGGAGAGUGGAAUUCCUGGUGUAGCGGUGAAAUGCGCAGAUAUCAGGAGGAACACCGGUGGCGAAGGCGGUUCUCUGGGCAUGAUCUGACGCUGAGGAGCGAAAGUGUGGGGAGCGAACAGG
rnacentral:rRNA from 1 species